GAUCCUGGCUCAGGAUGAACGCUAGCUACAGGCUUAACACAUGCAAGUCGAGGGGCAGCAUGGGAGUUGCUGCAACUCCGAUGGCGACCGGCGCACGGGUGAGUAACGCGUAUCCAACCUGGCCCUUAGUAGGGAACAGCCCGGCGAAAGUCGGAUUAAUGCCCUAUGUUUUCCAAUGAUGGCAUCUGACUUGGAACAAAGAUUCAUCGCUAAGGGAUGGGGAUGCGUCUGAUUAGCUUGUCGGCGGGUAACGGCCCACCGAGGCGACGAUCAGUAGGGGUUCUGAGAGGAAGGUCCCCCACAUUGGUACUGAGACACGGACCAAACUCCUACGGGAGGCAGCAGUGAGGAAUAUUGGUCAAUGGGCGCGAGCCUGAACCAGCCAAGUAGCGUGCCAGGAAGACUGCCCUAUGGGUUGUAAACUGCUUUUAUGCGGGAAUAAAGUCAGGUACGCGUACCUGUUUGUAUGUACCGCAUGAAUAAGGACCGGCUAAUUCCGUGCCAGCCGCUGC
rnacentral:rRNA from 1 species